GAUGAAGAACGCAGCGAAAUGCGAUAAGUAGUGUGAAUUGCAGAAUUCAGUGAAUCAUCGAAUCUUUGAACGCACAUUGCGCCCCUUGGUAUUCCAUGGGGCAUGCCUGUUCGAGCGUCAUUUGUACCUUCAAGCUUUGCUUGGUGUUGGGUGUUUGUCUCGCCUUUGCGUGUAGACUCGCCUUAAAAUAAUUGGCAGCCGGCGUAUUGAUUUCGGGGCGCAGUACAUCUCGCGCUUUGCACUCAUAACGACAGCGUCCAAAAGUACAUUUUACACUCUUGACCUCGGAUCAGGUAGGGAUACCCGCUGAACUUAAGCAUAUCAAUAAGCGGAGGA
rnacentral:misc_RNA from 1 species